CCCAAAAGCAGAUCCUUACAGAACAAGAUCUGGGUUCCUGUGGAAGAAGACUUUCACCAGAGUACACAGCAAGAGUCCCUUUAAACUUCAAUCCUUGGCUGUUGUAGGUAUACUUCAGGACUUGUUGUCAAAAUACCAAUAAUCAAGAGAAGGUGUCACAAUCUUAGUAGUAGUAAUUAUCUUGAUCAUCAUAAAGAGAUAGAAAUGUUAUGCAGUGAGGUCAGAAAACAACAUGCUUGAUACUCAUGUCCUCCCUGAGAUAUCUCUUGGCAUUUUCUUACCCAAUUUUAUUGUUUAAUGCUCAUGUACAGUAGACUGAGGGAAGCAUGAAGACCUGGAGUUCAAACCCCCUUGGGAGUGAAUAACUUCUUGGUCAACUUACGAAUAAGACCCUAAGCCAGUGAAGAUCCUUGUUAAAAUUGACGGGAAUCUAGAACUGGUUUUUAAAAAAGAAAAAAAAAGAGAGAGAGAGAAGCAAAUUAUGUCUUCAAGACCAGCUACAGUGGUGAUGUUGAAGUUUUUUCCACUAAACUUCCUGUUGCAAUUUACCCCAAGAAAUAUGACCAGUGCAAAUCUUGAAUGAAGAGUUUCUAAAAUGUAUUACAUAAAGUAUGUGGAGCUGAAGAAAGCAAAAGGUUGGACUAUAAUGGAUGCUCUUUUGUGCCUCCAAGAUACACCCUUCAGUUCUGAGGCUUUCAUUUGUCCGCCCCCUGAGAGUAUUGCUGCCUGAUGUCUUUCUCCUGAGCCUUGAGACUUAUGAAUUGUCCUUGGGCAAAGGGAGCUGCCUUACCAGAAGAAACCUUCUUUCUCUAGGACACUCCUUAUCAAAUGGCUAUUGAUAUGAUAGUAUAAAUGCUUGUGCCCCUAUAUCAAAGCAGAAUUCUAAAGAACCAUUUUAGCAGAGCUGCCCAAGAGAUUGGCCAAGGCCUCCUUGAGACUGUUUCACAGUUCAAGUUCUUUUUCUCAAUCUUAAUUUUUUUUAUUUCUCAAUAGGUAUUAAUCCUG
rnacentral:lncRNA from 1 species